CAGACCUGGGAGGAGAAGGGGAAACCAGAAAUGAGAGCUUUAAUGAUGGUGUGUGCCCCUUCCUCUCACAG
rnacentral:miRNA from 1 species